AGGGCGUACGGUGGAUGCCUUGGCGAUAUCAGCCGAAGAAGGACGCGGUAAGCUGCGAUAAGCUACGGAGAGGUGCAAGCAACCUGUGACCCGUAGAUAUCCGAAUGGGGGAACCCGGCAGUGGUUAUGCACUGUCACCCAUAGCAUAGACUAUGAGGAGGGCACCCGGGGAACUGAAACAUCUAAUUACCCGGAGGAACAGUAAUCAAACGAGAUUUUCUUAGUAGCGGCGAGCGAACGGGAAAGAGGCCAAACCGGAGCGGGCAACCGCACCGGGGUUGAGGACAGUCAUCAAGUGUAAAUGAGGUAGAAGAAUCGAGCUGGAAAGCUCAGCCGCAGAAGGUGAAAGCCCUGUAAUCGAAACCUUGCAUACACGGGACUGUAUCCAGAGUACCACGAGACACGUGAAACCUUGUGGGAAGCAGGGGGGACCACCCUCCAAGCCAAAAUACUGAUAUCGACCGAUAGCGCAUAGUACCGUGAGGGAAAGGUGAAAAGAACCCCUGGCGGGGAGUGAAAGAGAACCUGAAACCGUAUGUCUACAAACAGUCGAAGUCUGUAUAUAUAUCAGGACGACGGCGUGCCUAUUGAAGAAUGAACCGACGAGUUACUGUUGCUAGCGAGGUUAAGUGGAAAACAUGGAGCCGCAGCGAAAGCGAGUCUGAACAGGGCGUUCAGUUAGUAAUAGUAGACCCGAAACCGUAGUGAUCUAUCCAUGGCCAGGUUGAAGCACAGGUAAAAUUGUGUGGAGGACCGAACUCGUGAGCGUUGAAAAGCUUUGGGAUGAGUUGUGGAUAGGGGUGAAAUGCCAAUCGAACACGGAGAUAGCUGGUUCUCCCCGAAAUAGCUUUAGGGCUAGCCUCGAGGUAGAGAGUAUAGGCGGUAGAGCACUGAUCGGGCUAGGGGCCAUACCGGUUACCGAACCUAGUCAAACUACGAAUGGCUAUACUUAUACUCGGGAGUCAGACAGUGAAUGAUAAGGUCCAUUGUCAAGAGGGAAACAGCCCAGAACACCGACUAAGGUCCCUAAUGUUACACUAAGUGGCGAAGGAUGUGGAAUUUCCAAAACAACCAGGAUGUUGGCUUAGAAGCAGCCACCAUUUAAAGAGUGCGUAAUAGCUCACUGGUCGAGAGACUCUGCGCCGAAAAUGUCCGGGGCUAAAGUGUAAAACCGAAGUCGUGUCAUAUGCAGCAAUGUAUAUGGGUAGGGGAGCGUUCUCAUCGGGCUGAAGCAGUACCGUAAGGAGUUGUGGACUGAUGAGAAGUGAGAAUGUCGGUAUGAGUAGCGAAAAGAAUGGUGAGAAUCCAUUCCACCGAAAGCCUAAGGGUUCCUGAGCAACGAUCGUCGUCUCAGGGUAAGUCGGGACCUAAGCCGAGGCGGAAAAGCGUAGGCGAUGGACAACAGGUUGAAAUUCCUGUACCGGUGUGAAUCGUUUGAUCGAUGGAGUGACACAGUAAGGUAGGUCAGCACGCGAUUGGAAGAGCGUGUUUAAGCAGGUAGGUUGAGCUAUAGGCAAAUCCGUAGCUCUAAAAGCUGAGAUGUGAUGACGAGUGACUAGCAAUAGUCGCGAAGUGAUUGAUCCUACACUGUCGAGAAAAGCUUCUAGGUAGAGACACAUCGCCCGUACCAAAACCGACACAGGUAGGCGGGGAGAGAAUCCUAAGGUGCGCGGGAAAACCCUCGUUAAGGAACUCGGCAAAAUGCCUCCGUAACUUCGGGAAAAGGAGGACUCAUGUAGUGUGAAGAGCAGCAACGCUUGGAGCAUGAAUGAGUGGCACAAGAGAGGCGCAAGCGACUGUUUACCACAAACACAGGUGCCUGCUAAAGCGAAAGCUGAUGUAUAGGUGCUGACACCUGCCCGGUGCUGGAAGGUUAAGAGGAGGGGUUAGACUUCGGUCGAAGCUCUGAAUUGAAGCCCCAGUAAACGGCGGCCGUAACUAUAACGGUCCUAAGGUAGCGAAAUUCCUUGUCGGGUAAGUUCCGACCCGCACGAAAGGCGUAACGAUUUGGGCACUGUCUCAACGAGGGACCCGGUGAAAUUGAAAUACCUGUGAAGAUGCAGGUUACCCGCGACUGGACAGAAAGACCCCAUGGAGCUUUACUG
rnacentral:rRNA from 1 species